AGAGUUUGAUCAUGGCUCAGGAUGAACGCUGGCGGUCUGCUUAACACAUGCAAGUCGAACGAACUCUUCGGAGUGAGUGGCGGACGGGUGAGUAACGCGUGAGAAUCUGCCUGUGGGUCGGGGACAACUACUGGAAACGGUGGCUAAUACCGGAUGAGCCGAAAGGUAAAAGAUUUAUUGCCCACAGAUGAGCUCGCGUCUGAUUAGAUAGUUGGUGGGGUAACGGCCUACCAAGUCUACGAUCUAUAGCUGGUUUUAGAGGAUGAUCAGCAACACUGGGACUGAGACACGGCCCAGACUCCUACGGGAGGCAGCAGUGGGGAAUCUUGGACAAUGGGCGCAAGCCUGAUCCAGCCAUGCCGCGUGAGUGAUGAAGGCCUUAGGGUCGUAAAGCUCUUUCGCCAGGGAUGAUAAUGACAGUACCUGGUAAAGAAACCCCGGCUAACUCCGUGCCAGCAGCCGCGGUAAUACGGAGGGGGUUAGCGUUGUUCGGAAUUACUGGGCGUAAAGCGCGCGUAGGCGGAUUGGAAAGUUGGGGGUGAAAUCCCGGGGCUCAACCCCGGAACUGCCUCCAAAACUAUCAGUCUAGAGUUCGAGAGAGGUGAGUGGAAUUCCGAGUGUAGAGGUG
rnacentral:rRNA from 1 species